GGAAGCCAAGCAAGUUCUGUCUACAUCUUCAAAGAAUGCGAGAUCAUCCUCUCCUUAUAGAGUGGGGCCUCCGAGGUCAUUGUCACCCACCCUCAACGAGUUUGCCUUGGAUAAUCCUGCCAUAGGACUCAGAGAAAGGGCCUCACCGUCUCAUACUGCACUUGACUAUGGGUUUAGCAGAGUAAGAGGUAGAGAUGUUGAGAGGAGUGAGUGGCAGAGAAUUUUGCCUGAUGGGGCCAAUCAGCAACCAGACGUUCCUCCUAAAUAUCGCAUAAACAAGGGAAUUGAUCUUCAAGGACCUAGAGCUUUGAUUGAUGCUUAUGGAAUUGAUGAAAGGGAAAAAGUAGCCCAUCUGAGGCAGCAAAAGACUGGGAAUGCCACUAUUAAUGGCUUAGGCAAUGGGUUAGCAGUUAAGACAUGGCAAAAUACCGAAGAGGAAGAGUUUAACUGGGAAGAUAUGAGUCCAACUUUAGCAGAUCAGAGCCCGUUUAAUGAUUUGUCAGCAUCUCUUCGCCAUCCUCAGAGUAUCAGGAUGAGACCUUGUGUUGAUUCACAACAUGCUGGGCCAUUGGUGGCUGAUCCUAGAAGGAACUGGGCUAAUCGAGGGCAAUAUUCUUUAGUUCAUGAUUCUUCCGUGGAUGAUGUUCACUCGUCUGGUCGAGGGGCGAGAAAUAAAAUUACUGGAUAUUGCGAUGAGACAUCUCUGAUUUCAGGUUCACAUUAUCUUCAAAAGCUUCCAGAAAAUGUGCCACAGUUGCCUCUAAGACAUUUAAAGGGUGAAGGAAGUGGAAUCUCAUCAGUGACCGGUGAAUCAAAGCACCCUUUGAUUGGCAAUUUGGCUGCUGAUGGACAUACUUGGAGGCCACCAUAUGUUCCGCCAAGAAUGAAUCCUACUUUUGACUCUUCAGUUCAGGAUGUUCGGGUGGUUACUGGACGGGGCCCUGGUGUACCAUGGCCUCCCCAAAAUGUGCAUACUCCCCAUUCUUUGACUUCAAAACCUGUUGUUCUGCCUCAUAAUCACGUCAGAAGUCCUUAUGAAGUAAAUAAUGCAAGCAAUUCAGUUGUCAAUCAUACUUUGGACAGGCCAGUUCUUCCUGAGCAACAUAUUGAUAAUUUGAAGAGCAGCUCACAUAUCAAGUUUCCACAAUUUCCUAGUCAACACCCCACAUCAUUUUCUACAAGUCAUCAAAAUUCUGAACAAAUGGCUUCAGCAGAACCUCAGCUAUUGCUUUCUCAGCGUAUUCAUCAGACUAUGCCUCCAAGUGCCUCACUUCCAGCCUCAAACCAUUUGCUACCACCAACUUAUAGAUACCCUCUACCGGGUCCUGGUUCUUCUAUAGGUCCUCACUUCCCCCGUCCAGUUUCAGGUCCACAAGUGUCUAUGCCAUUGGUUAAUGUCCCAAAUACGUCAUCACAGUUUUCCUCAGGAGCUUUACCACCUUUUCCCAGAGGCCCACUUCCUAUGCCAUCUAAAUUCAUGCCAGCAUCCCAAAAUCCAGGUCAGGUUACUCCUAACCCUCCAGCAGCAGGCUUUUCAAGCUUGAUUAACUCACUCAUGGCACAAGGUUUGAUUUCAUUGACAAAUCAAGCUCCCGCUCAGGAUCCUGUGGGCCUUGAUUUUAAUCCGGAUCUUCUGAAGGUUCGUCACGAUUCUGCAGUAACUGCUUUAUAUGCUGAUCUUCCAAGACAGUGCACAACUUGUGGCCUACGAUUUAAAUGCCAAGAGGCUCACAGUAGUCAUAUGGAUUGGCAUGUAACCAAGAAUCGAGUAUCGAAAAAUCGCAAGCAGAAGUCUUCUCGUAAGUGGUUUGUAAGCGUCAACAUGUGGCUUAGUGGUACAGAGGCGUUGGGAUCUGAUGCAGUUCCUGGAUUUCUACCGACUGAGCAAGUUGUCGAAACGAAGGAUGAUGAAGAAUUGGCCGUCCCAGCUGACGAUGAGCAGAAUGCUUGUGCACUGUGUGGAGAGCCUUUUGAUGAUUUUUACAGCGAUGAGACUGAAGAAUGGAUGUAUAGGGGGGCUGUCUACAUGAAUGCACCAAGUGGGUCAACAGUUGGAAUGGAAAGGUCUCAGUUGGGUCCAAUUAUUCAUGCGAAAUGCAGAUCUGAAUCUAGUGCUCCACAUGAGGACUCCAGAAAAGUGGAUGAGGGUCCAGAAGAUGAAAGUCAAAGGAAACGAAUGCGGAGUUAGCUUCAUUAAAUCAGCUUCUAGGUGCAUUGUAACUUUAUCUUGAGAUUCCUCCAUGAUAGCAUUUGAGCUUUAGAUUAUUUCUAGGUACCAUGCCAGAAUCAUGUACAUGUACAGGAGUUGUAACAUCAAAG
rnacentral:misc_RNA from 1 species